rnacentral:rRNA from 1 species
UGCAGUCGACGGCAGCACGGGAGCAAUCCUGGUGGCGAGUGGCGAACGGGUGAGUAAUACAUCGGAACGUGCCCAAUCGUGGGGGAUAACGCAGCGAAAGCUGUGCUAAUACCGCAUACGAUCUACGGAUGAAAGCAGGGGACCGCAAGGCCUUGCGCGAGUGGAGCGGCCGAUGGCAGAUUAGGUAGUUGGUGAGGUAAAGGCUCACCAAGCCUUCGAUCUGUAGCUGGUCUGAGAGGACGACCAGCCACACUGGGACUGAGACACGGCCCAGACUCCUACGGGAGGCAGCAGUGGGGAAUUUUGGACAAUGGGCGCAAGCCUGAUCCAGCCAUGCCGCGUGCAGGAUGAAGGCCUUCGUGUUGUAAACUGCUUUUGUACGGAACGAAAAGGUUCUUUCUAAUAAAGAGAGCUCAUGACGGUACCGUAAGAAUAAGCACCGGCUAACUACGUGCCAGCAGCCGCGGUAAUACGUAGGGUGCAAGCGUUAAUCGGAAUUACUGGGCGUAAAGCGUGCGCAGGCGGUUAUGUAAGACAGUUGUGAAAUCCCCGGGCUCAACCUGGGAACUGCAUCUGUGACUGCAUAGCUAGAGUACGGUAGAGGGGGAUGGAAUUCCGCGUGUAGCAGUGAAAUGCGUAGAUAUGCGGAGGAACACCGAUGGCGAAGGCAAUCCCCUGGACCUGUACUGACGCUCAUGCACGAAAGCGUGGGGAGCAAACAGGAUUAGA